rnacentral:rRNA from 1 species
UUAGCAGAGAUGCUUUGGUGCCUUCGGGAACUCUGAGACAGGUGCUGCAUGGCUGUCGUCAGCUCGUGUUGUGAAAUGUUGGGUUAAGUCCGCAACGAGCGCAACCCUUAUCCUUUGUUGCCAGCGGUUCGGCCGGGAACUCAAAGGAGACUGCCGGUGAUAAACCGGAGGAAGGUGGGGAUGACGUCAAGUCAUCAUGGCCCUUACGGCCAGGGCUACACACGUGCUACAAUGGCGCAUACAAAGAGAAGCGACCUCGCGAGAGCAAGCGGACCUCAUAAAGUGCGUCGUAGUCCGGAUUGGAGUCUGCAACUCGACUCCAUGAAGUCGGAAUCGCUAGUAAUCGUAGAUCAGAAUGCUACGGUGAAUACGUUCCCGGGCCUUGUACACACCGCCCGUCACACCAUGGGAGUGGGUUGCAAAAGAAGUAGGUAGCUUAACCUUCGGGAGGGCGCUUACCACUUUGUGAUUCAUGACUGGGGUGAAGUCGUAACAAGGUAAGCGUACGUGU